GGAAAACCACCCGCUCGAAUUAAGUGCUCCACCCCCGAGGGGUGGAAACCACCCAAAAACUAGAAAAAUCCGUGUAAUUCUUGAGCGGAACAAGUUACAGGGUUUCUAGAGGCGUCAAAAUCACUCUUCAGUCAACGACUCUCGAUACACUGCCCCUACAAAUCAAAUGCUUCACAGUCCACCCACACGAGUGUGAUUGAGACACGAACUUUACGAAUCAACGUAGCAGGUGGAUGAAACAGGAACCAGGAUUUUCAAUGCGAAAAAAUGCUCGUGUCGCGUGAAUUCGUUACAAUUUUUGUGUCUUGUACUUUGAUUUCAGCAUCGUCACCAACGAACGUCAUCCCAGCGCAAAUGAAGCGUUGUUUUUGCAGUUAUUGAUUUCACUUGUGUGGAUUGCAGACGCUAUCUAGAAAGAUAGACACAAUGGUCUAAAUUGUGCUACAGGCUUGAGAAAGAUGAGGGCUUACAUAGCUUUACAGCACAUGAUGUGAAUGCAAAUAUGUCGAUAUAUUGUCGAUUGAUGUUCCCAACACAGAAGAAAAGUUAAAAAUGGCAGUUUUGAUUAUUUCAAAAACUCUUGCAAUUGAAAUAUUUCCCGAGAUGUGCGAUGCCAUGAUGGCUAACAUCACGGUCGCCUACACACAAUCCACAUUCUACUGAAAUCAUACAUGCUGUGAGUACCAAUAGCUAUUUUGUUGAGUAAAAAUGAUUUUUGCCUACCGAUGAGAUUUAAUAUUAACAAUGUGUACUUAUAACCAAUUACCGGCGAAUAAAAUUGAUGAGUUUUUGAUACAUAAUGGAAUUUAACACAGGUCAAUUAAAUGAAUUUACUCGAAGCGCUUGCGCAUUGACAAGCUUUUUUUGCUAAUUGUCGAAAUACCCUCUAUUCGCCUGCAUUUUUGUGAUUAUGAUAAAGUCAUAUUUUAUUAUUAUUAUUUUUAUUAUUAAUUAUCACUGAUUUACGAUUCUGAUUAAUGGGUGGAUUCAAUUCAAUGGAUCAGGGGCGAUAUCGUCAGAAAUGAACCGAGUCAACGUAGGGUGAAAUAUGGUUUGGAUGACUAUGACUGGCUUAUACGGGCAGAAUACAUUAUCGCAACAAAUUUGUGAGCGAUGAAAAAUUUUCAGCAAUGUUGACACCUUAUCCAAUAGCACUGCAUUUUUAUGCACCAGCACGAAGUUACGGACAAAACCAGAAAUUACUCUAUUUAAAAUAGUCUCGGGAAUCAUGGAUUGAAAAGGGGUAUCGUGAUUCCUGAUAGCGACGAAGUAGUGAACUAUACUGGGAAACAGUCCCGUGAAACUUGAAUUAUUUUGUACUACUGAGAGAGCAGAAUAAUCGGUUUGAUCGUUGACAAAACAUGAAAUCAACUGAACACUUGAAAAUUUUGCGUACCCUGAAAUUCACUCAAAUUUCUCUGCUGAUUUUUACAGGGCUUGUGUUGUUGGAAAUUAUUCUGUUAUCAGAGACAAUUCAAUAAUUCACUGUUUUGAAGUGACCGAAAUCUGGUAAUUGGAAUGGAUUACUUCGACUUGAAUGGAUUUUCUGUGACACAGGCUUUUGAACUGUCCAGCGGAGAGCCUAUGAAUAGGAAAUCAAUGUAACGCCUCUAAGAACCCUCUAACUUGUUCCGUCUGAGUGUUACACCGAUUUUUUGAGUUUUUUGGUGGUUUCCACCCCUCGGGGGUGGAGCACUUAAUUCGAGCGGGUGGUU
rnacentral:lncRNA from 1 species